GACGAACGCUGGCGGCGUGCCUAAUACAUGCAAGUCGAGCGAAGCGGCGGGUGGGUUAGUAACGCGUGGGUAACCUGCCCUUAAGUCUGGGAUACAAUUUGGAAACAGAUGCUAAUACCGGAUAUAGAAGGAUGGACCUGCGAUGACUUAGCUAGUUGGUAAGGUAACGGCUUACCAAGGCGAUGAUGCGUAGCUGGGGUGAGAGACUGAUCGGCCACACUGGGACUGAGACACGGCCCAAACUCCUACGGGAGGCAGCAGUAGGGAAUCUUCCACAAUGGGCGAAAGUCUGAUAGAGCCAUGCCGCGUGAGUGAAGAAGGUUUUCGGAUCGUAAAGCUCUGUUGGUUGUGAAGCGGUAAUCAACCAGAAAGUCACGGCUAACUCCGUGCCAGCAGCCGCGGUAAUUC
rnacentral:rRNA from 1 species